rnacentral:rRNA from 1 species
AUUGAACGCUGGCGGCAGGCCUAACACAUGCAAGUCGAGCGGAUGAAGGGAGCUUGCUCCUGGAUUCAGCGGCGGACGGGUGAGUAAUGCCUAGGAAUCUGCCUGGUAGUGGGGGAUAACGUCCGGAAACGGGCGCUAAUACCGCAUACGUCCUGAGGGAGAAAGUGGGGGAUCUUCGGACCUCACGCUAUCAGAUGAGCCUAGGUCGGAUUAGCUAGUUGGUGGGGUAAAGGCCUACCAAGGCGACGAUCCGUAACUGGUCUGAGAGGAUGAUCAGUCACACUAGAACUGAGACACGGUCCAGACUCCUACGGGAGGCAGCAGUGGGGAAUAUUGGAAAAUGGGCGAAAGCCUGAUCCAGCCAUGCCGCGUGUGUGAAGAAGGUCUUCGGAUUGUAAAGCACUUUAAGUUGGGAGGAAGGGCAGUAAGUUAAUACCUUGCUGUUUUGACGUUACCAACAGAAUAAGCACCGGCUAACUUCGUG